rnacentral:rRNA from 1 species
UACUAGAGUAGCACUCGCAUAUCAAUAAGCGGAGGAAAAGAAACUAACAAGGAUUCCCCUAGUAACGGCGAGUGAAGCGGGAAGAGCUCAAAUUUGAAAUCUUAAAGGGUUUCCCUUUACGAAUUGUAGUUUAAAGAAGUGGUUUCUGUUGAGGUUUUGGUAAAAGUUCUUUGGAAUAGGACAUCAUAGAGGGUGAGAAUCCCGUAUUUGACCUUUACUUUCAACUUUGUGAUACACUUUCAAAGAGUCGGAUUGUUUGGGAAUGCAGUCCAAAAUGGGUGGUAAAUUUCAUCUAAAGCUAAAUAUUGGCGAGAGACCGAUAGCGAACAAGUACCGUGAGGGAAAGAUGAAAAGAACUUUGAAAAGAGAGUUAAACAGUACGUGAAAUUGUCAAAAGGGAAGCGUUUGACACCAGUGUUGUUUUUCUGAAAAUCAAUUAAAGAACUGUUUAUGCUAAGCUGUUUAGACUUUAUCAGCUAUCUGUUUAGUUUUGAGCUUUUCUUUAAUGCACUUUUCAGUUAACAAGUCAACAUCAAUUUCUUUUGCUGUAAAAAAGCUUGAGGAAGGUGGCUUGAGAUUCGUCUUAAGUGUUUAUAGCCUCUUGCCUAUGCAGUCGGAGAGAUUGAGGUCUGCAGCGUAGAUCCUUCGGGGCUAAAUGCAUUUGUGCUAAGUUAUAGCAUUUUAUAGACAACUUGUUGACUAUGGUUUGUCUUGUAGCUUACUCGCUUAUGUUAUUUUACCUACGCUUAGGAUGUUGAAGACUCUACAGAGAUA